rnacentral:rRNA from 1 species
AGCAGCCGCGGUAAUUCCAGCUCCAAUAGCGUAUAUUAAAGUUGUUGCAGUUAAAAAGCUCGUAGUUGAAUUUCGGGGUUAGUAGGUUGGUCAUGCCUCUGGUAUGUACUGGUCUCACUGAUUCCUCCUUCCUGAUGAGCCGUAAUGCCAUUAAUUUGGUGUUGCGGGGAAUCAGGACUGUUACUUUGAAAAAAUUAGAGUGUUUAAAGCAGGCUAACGCUUGAAUACAUUAGCAUGGAAUAAUGAAAUAGGACGUUUGAUCCUAUUUUGUUGGUUUCUAGGAUCGACGUAAUGAUUAAUAGGGAUAGUUGGGGGCAUUAGUAUUCAAUUGUCAGAGGUGAAAUUCUUGGAUUUAUUGAAGACUAACUACUGCGAAAGCAUUUGCCAAGGAUGUUUUCAUUAAUCAAGAACGAAAGUUAGGGGAUCGAAGACGAUCAGAUACCGUCGUAGUCUUAACCAUAAACUAUGCCGACUAGGGAUCGGAUGAUGUUAAUUUUUA